CAUGUAUAAACAUAGAAUUUCUUCUGUGCUAGAUGAAUUCUCUUAAGGCAGUGGAGAUAUAGUCUUCAUAUAGCUAUCCCUCAGAGUACCUUGCACAAAACUUCACAUGGAGUUUUUCCUUGCAAGGUAUUAAAACCAUUCUUAAGACUCAAUUGGCUCAAGAAUCUGAAGAUUUAUGCUACUUACAUACUUACAGCACUUCCUAAUUGCCUGAGUACAAACUAGCCACCCAGAUAUCCCCUUACUCUCUGAUGCUGACAAACCAUGGGCAACUAAGAGGCAGGGAGCCUCUCUCAGGACUAACUCUGCCAAGUACAUAAAGGCUCAUCACCAGGAGGUUGGCCAUUUGAGUAAGAAUUCUUUGGCCAUGGAAAACCACCAAAAAACACAUAUACAAAUAAAUAAAUUGUCAUUGGAAGGGAAGAGAACAUUAACCACUGGGAGAUCUGAAAAAUGAGGUUUCCUAAGAUAUGACACCUCAGAGUUCUUUCCACAGUUUGAAAAUCUCUCAUCUAGAAGAAAAAAAAAAGAGUGCCUCAGACAGAGCCUGGAGGGACAUCCAUGUAAAGUGCUUGCUGCUAUAUUUUUCUGAUUCCUGGUACAACUGUCCAGUCUUCUUCCUAGCACCUGCUGCUAAGAAACCCUUUAAGAGCAAUCCAGGAUACUAUUUAAAAGUCAAAGAGAAAGAGCCACUGUGA
rnacentral:lncRNA from 1 species